rnacentral:lncRNA from 1 species
AAGAUUCCAAUCUCUUAAAGCUUCCUGUAUGACAUUAAAUGGACCACUAUCAGAAUCCAGUACGCAGGCCUCCUUAAAAUGUAUCAUCCUUUCUAAACUAGUAGGUGAGGACCAAAACACACCAAAUUUGAUGAUUUUCCUUAAGUUUACAUUCAGAAUCAAUAAAAUGCACUGCCAGACAGAGAUACUUCACUGAGGCCUCAGCUCCAUGAGGAGCCCACACACUUGCUGAUAAGGAAACCCGAUGGGAUAAAAGAGCAAUCUUUUUCCUUUAGAUCAGUCUUUUCUUUCUGAAAUAAAAGAGUUGAAUACUCUUCUAUAUCAAUGCUCGAAGCCAUGUUAAAUGCAGGGUUCAGGCUCUUUGCAAACCUUUUCAUUUCUUCAUGUUCCACAAUUGACAAGGGAUAGCCAUGUUCCACAAUUGACAAGAGAUAGCCUGAUCAUCAUGUUGCUCGAUGUCGGCGCAGGCAUCAACUUCGGCGACUGCGACGGAUUAUCUGGCCCAACAUGAUCGCCGCCGGCGUCAGGACGGCCGACGACCCAGCAGCACCCAUCGGCCCCGCGCUCGCAGGGUUCGCCGGUGCACGUGCGUUCAUGCGGCGCAACCUCGCCGUCGUGGGGCUCGUCAUGGUAUCCUCUGCUUUCACAGCGGUUGACAGGCCCGGCGUUCUCCUUCAUGAUAUUUGUCCUGCUGGUGUUCGGAGUCUCUGUGAUCAACAUCGGAGUCCAUGGUGCCUUAUGAAAGCAAUUUCAAGCUAUCCUAAAAUAAGUAGACAUUUGUAUAAACUAGAAUAACCAUAUAACUGGUGCGUAUUUCAAACAGCUCAUCCUUUGGAUUUAUUCAAAUCAUCAGCCUAGCGAAAAAAAAGUCUAGGCCAUCAAACAGACGAGCCUGCUUACAUUCUCGGACCAGUAGCUUUUGAAGAAGCUCUGAGUAAGAAACUGAGCAAUAACAACGACGACAGUGGAACAGAAUUUCCAGAGCCCGCCUAUCCUAGACUUAGAGAAAACCGGCCAUUGCCAUGGAGACGCCGGCGAACAUGACGACGGCCAGUCCGAAAGCCACCACCGGGGUGACGGCGCCAACGGCGACGGCAUGGACAGCUGAGGAUGCGGCCACGAUCCCCAGCAUAGAUGAGAGGCUGCCACGACCGCGACGGUGCUCGUUUCCCCGCCCGUCGUCUUCACCGGACGCCUUCUUGGCUCCCGGUGAAGCCAGCAAUCAGACUUCACCGCCUUGGCACCUCUUGAGUCGUCUGGUGAACCAGUUGAAAGAUGAUAGAUGGUAGGAUAUCCAAGAGAGUUCAACUGUGCUGACAACACUACUAUCCGAAGUUCCCAACAGCAUGGAAUCAACAGUACCAUCCGCAAAUGUGCUGACAACAGUACUGACAACUAUCCAAGAGAGUCAUGCCGGUGGAACAACGAGGAACCAAAAUCAGUUAAGAGUCCUGCCGCACGGCAGCCACCCGGUGGAAGCUGUUCAGUUCUCUCAUGCUACAUGACAAAUUAUUUGUCCAAAACGUCAUCUUAUUCUGAACAGAGAUAGCAUGUAGCAGAUUCUUAGUUGAUUAGCAUUUCCUAGGACAAGAAUAAUUUUAGGAAACUUGCAAACAGAUACUCAAAACAUCACGCUUUCAUCAAACUAUGCACGUGAUUGCAUUUUAUCCAAUGCUGACACAUAGUUUUUUUUUUUGAAGAAACAGGAGGGGAGGGUCCCUACUGGUUAUACGAGAGCGAAGCAAAAGGGAAAACAGAAAAGAAAACAUACUACAAGGUGUGCAGCCUGUCAUUAUUUGUCUUACAUCAUCUCUCAGAAGAGACAGUAUGGCAUUACAUGGCCAGAGGAAAGAAGGACACUUGAACUAUAGUAGCGCACAUUCAUUAUUUGAGCCCACACGGCAUGAGAAUGACAGCAAGCAGGAGGCAGCAGCAGCAACAGAUACUCAAUGCAUCUGGGAGAGGCCAAGAAUCCCAACGCUGAUCAGGGAGAGGCCGAGGAGGAGCAGAGCAAACAUGCCGAAGCAGAGCACCUGGCCUGCUUCGCCGGAGACCGCCGUGACGGCGCAGGAAGCCAUCACGAGCCCCACGACGGCGAGGUUGCGACCAAGGAACUCUGCGAGAGCACGCGCCUCGGCCAACACCGCCGGGACGACGGGCGCCAGGAUGCCGACGGCGACGAUGUUGGCGCCGGCGAGAACCCCCGCGAAGCAGAGCAGCAAGCCGAAUCCGCCGGCGCCGGAGUUGAAUCCGGCGCUGACGGAGAACAGCAAGAUGGCGAGGCCGGCGAACAUCGCCGUGGUGCCCGGAGUGGUCAUCGUCGGCCGCGUGGCACCGCAGUCCCCUGCUUAAUUGGAGAGGGCCGUCGAGCGAGCAGGCGAGGCACCGCCGCACCGGGGAGGGAAGCGUUGCCGAAGAGGCAAAGAAUGCAGCGGGAGGAGGAGGAGGAUGAGCUGGGCGGUGCGCAGCGGACGGGGAGAGCCGGAGGAGCGAGAUGGUUGGGGUAGGGGAGGCCGGGGAGGGCAUUUAUACCGGGGAAGGGGAGAGGUAGCCGGGCUGGGACGAGGCCUAAAGGUGGCAACGGACAUUAGUUUUAUACCGAGAGGUGGCCGGGCCGCCGGCCCGCCGGGUGCAAAGUCUGAUAAAUGAUGCGUGGGGUCCGCCGUGGUGUCGACAACCCUCACCUGCCGCCUGGGCGUAGGAAGUGUUAAGGAAGUAAGCAAUUACUAGCCAUACACUAUUAAGAUAUAACAUAUUUUUCAAAGAGUAUAAAUAAUUAUAUAAUUUUCUAGAUUUCAAGUGUUCAACAAAUAGGCUCAAACAAUACAUAGAAUAUUGAAGGUAGAAAAGUACUAAAUUAAGAGUCUUUCAUGAAAAAAAAAGAACUAUACAUGUCUUCAUGAAUUAACACCACUUCCACUUGUUCCGACGACCUCAAUUCCACAUAAAAAUUUUCAACAUCUCAGCCCUAUAACAUUAUGUAUUGAAAUAGACUAACACAACACAAGUAAACAACACAACAACACGCACCAUGUUAAUACUAAUUACUACCGGGAUAUUUGAUUCUUAUUUAUAGUGACGAUUAUAUGUCUCUGAAGGAUAUUUGAGAUUUUUUUGUUUAUAUAAGUUUUUUUAAUACUGCCAUGUUGGGGUUGAUUACUGUUCCAAUUUGAUACAAAUUUAUUUUCUGGGAACUUGUCGGAAUAUGUUCCUAAUUUAUUGAUAGGCUUUUGGUUUAGACGGACAAAUUGCAGCUCUCGUUUCUUAAACCUUGAAAGCGCUUUUGAAUGCGGCUGGAGAUUCCCACCGUCGUGUCGUGUCGUGUCGGCAACCGAUGAGAUUGGAUUCAUAUCAUAUUGUUGCGGCCGCACUGCUUCGGAGGAAGUUGAAGAAUUGGAGAAGAAGGUAACGGACACUGGCCGGGCCGCCGUGGUGUCCAGUGGAUGUUUGGGAGGAGAGGGGUAGAGGACUAUGUAUAUCAUAUUGUUAUUGAUGCCACACUUCGUGGGAAACUCUGGGCAUCCCACAUGCGUUCUCUGAAACUCUGAAUAAAAUAUGAUUAAACCAUCCGGCGGCGCGCGCUGCCGUCGUGUCGUCGCCUGCAGCUCACUGGCGUCAAGGACAGCGCGUGGGCCCAGCUCACUGUUGACGCGCGAUGUUGCAGCUCGAGUGAACAUCGCAGUAUCGGCAUUCCACUCAGUUCAGGUCGAUGGACUGGCUGGUGGGGUCAGGUCGCGAGGACCCCGACCCAGUUCAUGAUCUGGGCUGAAACGGGCUGUUUACGUGCUACCGGCCACUUACUGGGCCUUCGGCGCAUUAGAAAUUGGGUUGUGUUUCCCCACGAACUGGGUCCGAAUAGCGGCACAACAUGGAUUCGGGCCCAGCUGGAUGUCGCUUUCCUCUCGCCUGGAAACCUCGAAUGGACACAUUUCCUAGCUGGCGCCAUUCACAAAAUGCAAUAUGAGUGCCUUAAAAUUCAAGUUGAGAUUUUGCAGUACGCCACGAUAACAUAGACAGAAUAUCAAAUGACUUCUCAGGUUAAAGCAGCAGCACAUCAUUCGCACUGUACAAAUAAUCUGCACCAGAAGCCUAACAAAAUCCUAGGCAACAAUGCAUAAUACAUGUCAACACCUAGAAGCUCUCCUUUUUAGCUUCUGCAAUACACACUCCCGGGGAAAGAUUCGCUCAAAUAUACAAGCACAUACCAGUGGCUGCAAGAUGUUGGCCAGUGCACUCUUUUCUGAUAUCAUCCUAGGUUCCUGAGUUAGAAGCACCAUGGUUAUGAACUGCUUGUAAUCUUCUGUUGAUAAUUAAAAAAAAAGGAAGCAUGCUAUCAGCUGUCAGCUUAUUGGUAGUUAGCAGCAGCAUGAUAAAUGGGCUGUGCAAGGAACCACUUGCCCCCAGAGAGCGUCCAGUGUCACGAAUAUUUCUAUUCCACGCAAUACAAGCAAUUUAAUCCCCCCCCCCCCUCUAUUACUCGUAUUUGCAUGAUGCUAAAUUGACAAUACUAAAGUGCAUACUGUUUCAAAUUUUCCCUCCAUUACUUGUAUUUACAUAUUGUUUCGUAAAGGGAAAUUCAUCAUGACUAAAUUGCAUCAUAGGCACAGUGACUAGCAAGGUAAGGUCUAUGACAAACCCCUGACAUCCUUGAUCUGCAAGCCUGCAAUGCAUAUUACUCUAUCUUUUCCAAGUUCAGAGAAUGCAUGCUCACCAUAACAGAAACACAAUAUUCAUACUUUUAGUUGAGAACAAGGGUUUUGCUAAGGUACUCCCAAAUGACUGUGGACCGUUGAUCUAAUAACAUAUUACCUCAUAGGAAGUAAUAUUAUAUCUAUUUUUUAAAUCUGAAAAUAGGAAAAGUAUUUUUCUAUUAGAUCUAACUUCCACACAUGAUUGUACUAUAUCAUAUCUAAGUUUCUUUUUUGCCUCCCACGUGAACAUGGAUGGCGGUUCUGGUUCAAAAAACGAGAGACGAACAUGACACCUUUAUGUGACAUGGAUCCGUUCGAAAAAAAUGUGACAUAAGUCAAGUAAAUGUGUUGCAUGGAGAAAUGUGUCAUGGCCAUCUCUUUUUUUCCCCAUGCGGGUGCAGAUGUUUCGUUUCAAAGAAGAAAUGCAGAUGCAGAUGUUUCGUUUCAAAGAAGAAAUGCAGAUGCAAAUGUUAAAUUGCAUGUCAUGAGGAGAUGUUCAAGUAAACAUGAAGAUGUUCAAGUAUUUUUUUUUUCUCCAUCCAGAUGCGGACUGUUAAAAUGUUAUGAUGUCGGUUGCAACUAAAAGAAAAGAAAUUGCAUGUUCACAUGCAGAUGUUGGACCUGUUCCUCCGAUCCUAAAUUGAAGGAAGCCGUGAUAAUGGGGAGCCGGUUGUUUCUUUUUUUUUGUUGCCUUUUUUAAUAUUAAGGGCCUCAUUAAUUUGAACUCUUACCUCCUAGGAGGUAAUCGGUGUACUGUAGCAUUGCCCUGAGAACAAACCUUUUUUCUGUAAGCUACUGCAGAUCCUACUGAUUUACUGGUGUUUAUCUUUUCAGUAAUUAUUCUAGUGAUGCAGUUUCAAUAUUGUUAGUUGAGAGCAAACCCCUUGUUUGACCUAAGGCAGAUCCUAUUGAUUUACUGAUGUUUUUCCAGUAACCAUCUAGCAAGAAAAAAUGGAUGGUGUGAUGGUCCUAUUGCUACUAAUUGUCUAGCUAAUAAAAUAUGAUAAUGUGAAUGCUCCAACUCCAACAGUGCAAAAUUUUAUUGAGAACUGACAUGUCAAAUAUAAACAAAAAUUCCAAUAAAAAGGAGUAUCUUUAUAAAAAUUAAAUAAGCAAAGAAGGAAACCAACGGAACGACCAAAGUGAAAAUAUUACCUUUCUAUUUAAUCCAAUCUCGAGUACAUACAAGAGCCUCAAUUGUUUUGAUAUUUAAUGUGCUCCAUUGCUUAUGAAUCAUAUUUCCCUCACUGCUCAAUGCAGCUUCACAAUUAACAGCAGAAGCUGGCAUUGCCAGGACAUCACGUGCCAUAAUUGACAGAGUUGGAUACUUUGUAGAAUUAUUCAUCCACCAGUUCAGAAUAUCGAAAUCAUCCUUUCUCGGGACAAGACCAUCUUCAAGGUAGUUGUCAAGUUCUGUCAUUAGUUGGCUCCUUGUCUGUGCAUUAAGAUGCUCAUCCCAAUCUUCCAAUGAAUCACUAUCAAAUCCAUCAAACUCAACAAUACGAGCUUCACGAGUUGAUGUGUCAAGCCCUGACUUCUCUGAAGGACCACAAUAUUCAUGGAACAGCUCCCUUAUUGCAUCACGCACGGCAGAUACAUACUUCUCCGCAUCAGUACCAAAAGCUCGCUUUAGACGGAACUCAAUAAAAGUAAUUUUGAAUCUCGGAUCAAGAACAACAGGUAUUGACAGCCACACGUAUGAACUUUGCCAAUACUCAUUGAACGCUUCUUGCAUCACCCAAACCAUGUUAGCAAGUUCAGUGUGAUCAGAGGAUGCUUCUUCUUGCAAAGUUGUUCUAACUUUCCAUAGUUCAUUGAAGUAUAUAUUUGCUGUGGGGCAAACAGGACCAGAAAUUACUUCAACAGCACGAUAAAAAGCCCUCAGUAUCCUGCAAACAGAUUCCACAGUUUUAGUAUCUUCUGCAGAUAACAAUUCUUCCGAGGGGAAUGCCUUCUUGAAAUGCAGAAAAACUUCAAGCCUGAAGUAAAUUUUAUGCCACCAUUUUGCAUCCUCCUGUGGGCACUUCAAUCCAAUAUGUGUAACAACUUCUAAAAGUUGCUGCCGAGUCAGCGAUGAGGACAUUUGUACCUGAAUAAAUUUCUCUAGUAUGUCACCAACAUGGUGAAGCACUGGUUGCCCUUUUGAAACAAUGCUGUUAAGCACAUCAUCCACACAAGCAACAUUGUACAGUUCACCUCUAAUAGGAAGGCAUUUUCUUUGGAUGAGCAAGUCCAUCAGCUUUGAGGUACCCUCAUCGCUUCUAAUUGCAUUGACAGAUGUCAAGCUGAAAUGCUUCUGAUCAAGAUUCCAAUCUCUUAAAGCUUCCUGUAUGACAUUAAAUGGUCCACUAUCAGAAUCCAGUACGCAGGCCUCCUUAAAAUGUAUCAUCCUUUCUAAACUAGUAGGUGAGGACCAAAACACACCAAAUUUGAUGAUUUUCCUUUGAAGUUUCCAUUCAGAAUCAAUAAAAUGCACUGCCAGACAGAGAUACUUCACUGAGGCCUCAGCUCCAUGAGGAGCCCACACACUUGCUGAUAAGGAAACCCGAUGGG